CAUUUCAAAGAUGGUACU
rnacentral:piRNA from 1 species